AUGAAGAGCCCAUGGGGGUGUGGACAAGGGAAAAAGGCGUUUGGUCCAGUAAUUCAGGGGCUAAGCCCAAUUUGUGAGUCCAAAAGCGAUUUUUUGUUCUUCCGCUUCAGGUGUGUCAAAAAUGGUGGUACAUGGGCUUCCGAAGAGCAUGAAGAAAAAUGGCAAAAGAACGAAGAACGAAGAGAAGCCAAAGCUUACCGACCGGAUAACAUUUGGUGCUUCUUUAGAGUGAUGAAGAUGAUGAGAACACCAGAGAAAACUACUCAAGAACUCAGGUGGUAUAGGAGAUAUACAUUUGUGCAUGGAGCAAUUUUUGAAGGAAGGUCAUACAAGAAAUCAUGCAUCAUCAAUAAACUUGGCAUUGGGACCAAGGGUCAUGGAAUUAGGGUUUCGCUAUGGUUUUUAAACUUUCCUCUUCAUUCAAGGUUAUCAAGCUACUAA
rnacentral:lncRNA from 1 species